rnacentral:ncRNA from 2 species
GCUUGUUCUCGGGGCGGGGUGAAACUCCCCACCGGCGGUAUGAAGCGAAAGUUUCGAGCCCGCGAGCGCCUGAAAAGAUGCCGAUUCGGCUUUGUUCAGGGUCAGCAGAUCCGGUGAGAUGCCGGAGCCGACGGUUAAAGUCCGGAUGGAAGAGAGCGAAU